GACGAACCGUGCGAACGUUGUUCGGAAUCACUGGGCUUAAAGGGCGCGUAGGCGGACUGCCAAGUCAGGGGUGAAAUCUUUCGGCUUAACCGGAAAACAGCCUUUGAUACUGGCGGUCUCGAGCGAGGUAGGGGCCGUUGGAACUUCCGGUGGAGCGGUGAAAUGCGUUGAUAUCGGAAGGAACGCCGGUGGCGAAAGCGAACGGCUGGACCUCUUCUGACGCUGAGGCGCGAAAGCCAGGGGAGCAAACGGG
rnacentral:rRNA from 1 species